GACGAACCGUGCGAACGUUGUUCGGAAUCACUGGGCUUAAAGGGCGCGUAGGCGGUUCGUCACGUCGGCUGUGAAAUCCCGAGGCUCAACCUCGGGUCUGCAGUCGAUACGGGCGGACUUGAGUACUGCAGGGGAGACUGGAAUUCCUGGUGUAGCGGUGAAAAUGCGCAGAUAUCAGGAGGAACACCGGUGGCGAAGGCGGGGUCUCUGGGCAGUAACUGACGCUGAGGAGCGAAAAGCGUGGGGGAGCGAAACAGG
rnacentral:rRNA from 1 species